rnacentral:rRNA from 1 species
AGUUUGAUCUUGGUUCAGGACGAACGCUGGCGGCGUGCUUAACACAUGCAAGUCGAACGAUGAAGCCCAGCUUGCUGGGUGGAUUAGUGGCGAACGGGUGAGUAAUACGUGAGUAACCUGCCUUUAACUCUGGGAUAAGCCUUGGAAACGAGGUCUAAUACCGGAUACGACCAGUUCCCGCAUGGGAUGCUGGUGGAAAGGGAUAUGUACUGGUUUUAGAUGGGCUCACGGCCUAUCAGCUUGUUGGUGGGGUAAUGGCUCACCAAGGCGACGACGGGUAGCCGGCCUGAGAGGGUGACCGGCCACACUGGGACUGAGACACGGCCCAGACUCCUACGGGAGGCAGCAGUGGGGAAUAUUGCACAAUGGGCGCAAGCCUGAUGCAGCGACGCCGCGUGAGGGAUGACGGCCUUCGGGUUGUAAACCUCUUUCAGCAGGGAAGAAGCGAAAGUGACGGUACCUGCAG